UCUUCCUCUCAGAUGCAAAUGCGAGCUAAGAUCAAGCAUAGUAUCUGUUCUUAUCAGUUUAAUAUCUGAUAUGUCCUUUAUUUGAGGACUGUAUAUUAAAUUGAUUUUUGAAACAGGGGGAUGGAAUAGGAGCUUGCUCUGUCCACCCCAUGCAUUGACCUGGUAUUGCAGUGCCUCCAGGACUGGUAGAAACCAG
ensembl:snRNA U2 U2 spliceosomal RNA